AGUUCGGUACACGACUGGCGGAGACAGUCUCAGGGCUGAUAGGAUAUACCUAUAGGGAGUGUGCCAUAACAAGAGCCGACCGCCUGGGCAGACAAA
rnacentral:ncRNA from 2 species